GACGAACGCUGGCGGCGUGCCUAAUACAUGCAAGUUGAGCGCUGAAGGUUGGUACUUGUACCAACUGGAUGAGCAGCGAACGGGUGAGUAACGCGUGGGGAAUCUGCCUUUGAGCGGGGGACAACAUUUGGAAACGAAUGCUAUUACCGCAUAAAAACUUUAAACACAAGUUUGAAGCUUGAAAGAUGCAAUUGCAUCACUCAAAGAUGAUCCCGCGUUGUAUUAUCUAGUUGGUGCGGUAAAGGCUCACCAAGGCGAAGUAACAUAGCGGACCUGCGAGGGGGACCGGCCACACUGGGACGGAGACACGGCCCAAACUCCUACGGGAGGCAGCAGUAGGGAAUUUUCGGCAAGGGGCGAAAGCCUGACCGAGCAACGCCGCGUGAAGGAAGAAGGUUUUCGGAAUGUAAACUUCUGUUGGAAGGGAAGAACGUUGGAGAGAGGGAAAGGCAUCCAAGGUGAGGGAAACUACAAGAAAAGGAGGGCCAAAUUCGGU
rnacentral:rRNA from 1 species